CCCACAAAUACUGCACAUCGGUUACAGAUAAAGUUGCUUUACAGGGUAAGCCCCCACCAUCACUGAAAACAGGCAUUGUUUUUCUUCUCCCCAGGAGAGGAAGAAUAAAUGUGACAGUUCGCAGUCACCACUGGUAGUGGCUGGAAACUAAACUCUCUCACCAGAAGUUCUCCCCAAGGCUUCUUUAAAUAUUCCAUGACUAGCUAUGUCCAAAUGCAUUUCCCAGAGGAUCAAAGUACAUUUUUCUUUCACUUGACAGAAGGCACUGAGUUGUUGCUAUCAGUUUGCUCUUACAAUCCUUUUGCAUCACCCGCUCACAGAAAUAAACAUUCUUUGAGGUUUUUCCUGAUGCAGUAACUGACCAUGCCACCACGGCUUUAUUUUGGCCAGAGACGCCUGUGGCAUUUCUGCAAGAGGACAAGCAUCUCGUUCAGACCCCAUUAAAAGAGAGCUCAGUUCUUACAGCAGUUUGACAAGUCUGAUAAAGAGAAAGAAAACCAAAUUACUAGGACUUGAAAUAUAAAGUAGAUGAACCAAUCUAGAGAUGCUGCAUGAAAGAAGGUGGAUUUUUUUCUGGACAAGGAAUGACUUGAGAGCAGCCCUGAGGAGAAGGAUUUGGGGGUGCUGGUUAAUGAAAGACUGAACAUGAGCUGGCUAUAUGCACUUGCAGCCCAGAAGGCCAACUGUGUGCUGGGUUACAUUAUGAAAAGAAUGAAAGAAAAGCAAGGAAGAUGAUUCUGCCCCUCUACUCUGCUCUUGUGAGACCCACCUGGAGUACUGCAUCCAAUUCUGGGGCCCUCAACACAAGACAGACAUGGAGCUGUUGGAGUGGGUCCAGAGGAGGGCCACAAAGAUGAUCAGAGGGCUGGGACACUUCCCCUACGAAGAGAGGCUGAGAAAGUUGGGACUCUUCAGCCUGCAGAAGAGAAGCACCUUUUGAAGCUGUUGCCACAGCACUACUCUUCCUUCUUGGGCUUCAGCAGUGGGUUGAACACAUCAUCUCUUUGCAGACUGCUGAAGAGCUGCAUCACAAGUGAGACUGGAGGUUGGUUGGAAGUCCCUUGAAAUCCAAGCACUUGUGCUCAGGAAGAAUUCACUCCACAUUUCUUCCUUCUUGCUGAAGGCUGGAUGUGCAAAUCCAUCUUAUUUUCACUUGACUCACACUGUGAAGACACAUACUGUGAUGUGGGGUGAUAUUAGCUGUAGAAAAGAAAAAGCUUUAAGACCACUGGGCCUCAAAAUGUGUCAAAACACACCAGGCAUGAGAAUCUGCCAUUUCUCUAUGGGAGGAGGCUGAUCUCCCCACAAAGGGCCAAGCAAGCUGUGCUCCAAGGACCUGCUCUCAUCCACUCAUCCAAACCCACACAGGGGAGCACAGCCAGGAAGAGCCACAGGACCUGCCAUCUCCUGUGCUGCCACCCAGCUCUCUUCCCUCUUGGGGGCUCAGAGCCUGAGCCAAGGUAUUGUUGCCUUUGAGGUUCAUUCUUUUAAAAAACUGACUGACGAUCAAUAUGCCAAAGCUGGGCUGUGCUUUGGGGCUCAGGGAUGGACAGCAAGAGUGCUGGAGCUGGCCUAAGGCAUGCACUGCCUGGGACAGUUGCUCCUUACCUGAGGCUGCACAUUUUGUAACUAAAGUUGGAGGAUGAGUUACCAGGGAGGACUUCAGGGAAGGUGACAGGAAGGAGGACAGCUGGUGUAGCUCCUCUAGAGUAAGCCAUGACUGAAAAGAGAACGGAGGCCCUGACCUGGAUACGGUCCUGGACAACCUGUUCUGGCUGGCCUGAGCAGGGAGUGGACCAAGUGGCCUCCAGAGGUCCCUUUACCUCCAGCAGCCCGUGACUUGGCUUGAUGUGUCUGGAGUGGCACUCCCAUGCCCACAGCCAUGCACUUGUAGCCUUGGGUAAUUUCUUUGCACCAGUGCCUCAGUACUUAAAGCAACACUGAUAACACUUCCAGAACUACACCCUAAAUAGUCUUUGGGACAGAAAUAAAAUUUUGAUUAAGUAGGAAAGCCUUUAUAGGUUAAUUAAAUAACAACUGCUAAACCAUAGCCAACCAGUCAUUAUCUGUGUUUUGAUAUGGACUUAUUACAUAACUGUUAAACUUGGUAUUUAGCAGAUAGCUUCCCUAUUUGAAGGACUAAACAUCUAUUUGAGAUAGUUCAUUUUUAAAUGUCACCAUUUCGGUUUACUAGACUUCUUGCUGUGCUUAACACAAACAGUGGGUAUUUAAAGUAAUAACAAAUCAGCUGUCAGCUGGGAGCACUCAGCAGAAGGUAGGGCCUGUCCUGUGACAGCCCUUGCCCUGCUGCUGGGAGAGUCCCAGGGAGGGUCAUGACGCCUCCAGGCCACCCCUCAACUAGCUCUGGACCUUAGGGGCUGAUGGGGAGAAGUAUCAGCACGCCUUC
rnacentral:lncRNA from 1 species